GAUGAAGAACGUAGCGAAAUGCGAUACGUAAUGUGAAUUGCAGAAUUCAGUGAAUCAUCGAAUCUUUGAACGCACAUUGCGCCUGCCAGCAUUCUGGCAGGCAUGCCUGUUCGUGCGUCAUUUCAACCAUCAAGCCCUAGGCUUGCGUUGGAGCCCUGCGGCUGCCGCAGGCCCCUAAAAGCAGUGGCGGGCUCGCUAUCACACCGAGUGCAGUAGAUUACUCUUCGCUCAGGGCGUGUGGCGGGUUCCAGCCGUGAAACCCCCUACUUCUCAAGGUUGACCUCGGAUCAGGUAGGAAUACCCGCUGAACUUAAGCAUAUCAAUAAGCGAGGA
rnacentral:misc_RNA from 1 species